CGCAGCCGCGGUAAUUCCAGCUCCAAUAGCGUAUAUUAAAGUUGUUGCAGUUGAAAAGCUCGUAGUUGAAUUUCGGGAUCAAUAUAUUGGUCAUGCUUAGGUAUGUACUGGUAUUAUUGAUUUCUCCCUUCUGAAGAACCAUGAUGUCAUUAAUUUGAUGUCGUGGGGAAUCAGGACUGUUACUUUGAAAAAUUAGAGUGUUUAAAGCAGGCUUUCGCUUGAAUGCAUUAGCAUGGAAUAAUGAAAUAGGACGUUCGAUUCUAUUUUGUUGGUUUCUAGGAUCGACGUAAUGAUUAAUAGGGAUAGUUGGGGGCAUUAGUAUUCAAUUGUCAGAGGUGAAAUUCUUGGAUUUAUUGAAGACUAACUACUGCGAAAGCAUUUGCCAAGGAUGUUUUCAUUAAUCAAGAACGAAAGUUAGGGGAUCGAAGACGAUCAGAUACCGUCGUAGUC
rnacentral:rRNA from 1 species